rnacentral:rRNA from 1 species
AUUGAACGCUGGCGGCAUGCUUUACACAUGCAAGUCGAACGGCAGCGGGGACUUCGGUCCGCCGGCGAGUGGCGAACGGGUGAGUAAUGUAUCGGAACGUACCUUUCAGUGGGGGAUAACGUAGCGAAAGUUACGCUAAUACCGCAUAUUCUCUGAGGAGGAAAGCAGGGGACCUUCGGGCCUUGUGCUGAUGGAGCGGCCGAUAUCAGAUUAGCUAGUUGGUGAGGUAAAGGCUCACCAAGGCGACGAUCUGUAGCGGGUCUGAGAGGAUGAUCCGCCACACUGGGACUGAGAAACGGCCCAGACUCCUACGGGAGGCAGCAGUGGGGAAUUUUGGACAAUGGGCGCAAGCCUGAUCCAGCCAUGCCGCGUGAGUGAAGAAGGCCUUCGGGUUGUAAAGCUCUUUCGGACGGGAAGAAAUUGGUGGGGCUAAUAUCCCCAUCGGAUGACGGUACCGUAAUAAGAAGCACCGGCUAACUACGUGCCAGCCGCCGCCGUAAUAC